AUUGAACGCUGGCGGCAUGCCUUACACAUGCAAGUCGAACGGCAGCGGGGGAGAAGCUUGCUUUUCCUGCCGGCGAGUGGCGAACGGGUGAGUAAUACAUCGGAACGUGCCCUGUAGUGGGGGAUAACUAGUCGAAAGAUUAGCUAAUACCGCAUACGACCUGAGGGUGAAAGUGGGGGACCGCAAGGCCUCAUGCUAUAGGAGCGGCCGAUGUCUGAUUAGCUAGUUGGUGGGGUAAAGGCCUACCAAGGCGACGAUCAGUAGCUGGUCUGGGAGGACGAUCGGCCACACUGGGACUGAGACACGGCCCAGACGCCUACGGGAGGCAGCAGUGGGGAAUUUUGGACAAUGGGCGAAAGCCUGAUCCAGCAAUGCCGCGUGUGUGAAGAAGGCCUUCGGGUUGUAAAGCACUUUUGUCCGGAAAGAAAUGGCUCUGGUUAAUACCUGGGGUCGAUGACGGUACCGGAAGAAUAAGGACCGGCUAACUACGUGCCAGCAGCCGCCGUAA
rnacentral:rRNA from 1 species